rnacentral:lncRNA from 1 species
UUCAAUCCCUAACUUGUGUACCUGUGGGGUAACUGAACAGAGACAAUAAGAAUGAAUAUAGUAGUAUGCUAGGUGUUCAUGAGACUUAGAGCUCUCCCACAAAAAUAAAUUAAAAAAAUCUAAGCAUAUACAGAGACAGAGAGAGAUCGUGAAAAAGGGCAAUGAAGGUUCAGAUUGCUUGCAUGUUUGCUCGUACCUUGUUGUUGGUUGAUGAGGAUUGAGGAAGAAGAAGAUGGAGAUUUGAUUUGAGUUUGAGGGAGAGAAGGCAACAACGGUGGUGGGCUGAUGGAGCAAGGGCUUUUUGUUGGGUCGGGUUGGACUUGUCUUUCACUUUCACUUUCACAUUCACAUCACAUAUACAUAAAGAAAAAAACUUGGCCGGCACGUGUCAAUGGAUGGGGGUUCUUGACACGCACGCCUUCAUAUAAAAAUAUAAAAAUAAAAAAAAAUAAAAAAUAAAUAAAUAAAUAAACUUCCUUUUUCUUUGACGGAGGUUUCUUCUUCAUCUUCUUAUCUGAUCAAUCAAGCAAGCAACACAUCUUCUUCUUCUCUCUUUCGCUCUCCUCUCUCUCUCUCUCUGGUAAGCAACAUCUACUCUUCAAUUCUAAUUGCGAUCCUUUUUCCUUUUUAUUCGUCAAUCGUUUUCGCUCCUCAAUUCAUCGCUACCCUCGUACCAAACCCUAAUUCCAUAAUUGGUGCUGCAGAAUCAUCGCCAUGGCUAAGAGCUCAUUCAAGAUGGAACACCCACUUGGUUCGCUCCUCUCUUAAUUUACCAAUUUUUUGUUCAAUUGUUACUGUAUAGUGCAGUUUUAUGAGUUGAUCAAACUUGAUGCUUUUGGGAUUCUCGGGUAGUAAUCUAACUGUCUAGGGUUUGGUUUCUAUUUUUUUUUUAUUUGGGUGUUUAACUAUGAUGUAAAGUUUGUAUUUUUAAGCACCAUUAUCACUUCUUCCAUGAAAAUUGAAUUUUUACCAGAAAUUUUUACUCUAUCAAAUGCCAUUGUCUUGUCUUAACUACAUAUUUUUGCUCUUUAUAUUUAGUUUAGAGUUUAGUAUAAACAAUGACCUAUGUUAUAGCACUUAAUUAUACUUUCCUAAGUGCAUGUAAACUUGUAUUUAGUUCACCUAUUGGGUGAUUUAGGUCCAACAUUUAUCUUCUCUAAUAUGUGCAACCAUUAACAUGCCAGAAAGGAGACAGGCUGAAGCAGCUCGCAUAAGAGAGAAGUAUCCUGACAGAAUUCCGGUAAGACCUGCUUUCUGCUGUGCUGUCUGUGUGCAUGUGCCAUUUUAAUAUCAUUGGAUGCUUAUUAUUUUGGUUGAUCUUGUGAUGUAGGUUAUUGUUGAAAGGGCAGAGAAGAGUGAUGUUCCUGAAAUUGAUAAGAAAAAGUUAGUUUCUUCUACUCUUUGGGAAGUGAUAUUGCAAAUAUUGGUUCAGUUUAUUUAAUCCAAUUUUCGUUAUAACUAUUAUUACUUGUUUCGUGAAUAUUUCCCUGCAUGAAACUUGUCCUGCUAUGUCUGGUUGAAGUUUUGAAUGUAUGGUAGCUUUACUUUGAAAUUUGAAAAAUGUAGACACUUAUGGUUGCUUAUGGUUCAACUUUGAACUUAAUACAUGAUGAGAAAUUAUAGUGUUGUGUGAUCCAUGUAGAGACAUGGUUUGUCGCUGGCUAAGACCUGUCGUGUGUAUUUUCUAUUUAUGCAUGUAGACGAAACCUUAAUGCUCUUGGUUUUUAACAAUGUAAAUAGAAUGGAAACUGUAGAAACAGUCUAGUUUGAUCAUAAAGUGAGAACAGGUUUUUGUUAAGACUUGGGUGUUAAUAAUUGAAUGUAUCAGAAAGUUGAGACUUCAUGUCCCAAAAUCUGUGUGCAUCUGCAUUAUGUACUUGUUUGGGUUGGAGCCAUGUGUUAUUUUAGUAAGUAGUUAAGUCUCCAAUGGCAUUUGGCUUUUGUGGUACAUUCUUGCAAAACGUAGGAGGUAUAACUCAUAACUCACUGUCUUCUCACCUUCUAAAAUCAAAAGAAAAAAAUGACCUUGGAAACUUAGUGUAUAUAUAAGUUUCAGCCAAUGUGAAAAUGUCCUUUGGGACGUAUGACUGUAUGUCUGGGGUGUAAGACCGUAAGCCAAACAUAUUUUUAGUACACUAAGUAACCUGGCUGGUGGAUGGAUGUCUAGGAUAGAUAUAGGCAUUUCGACAUGCUCAAUGUUUUCAUUUACCUCUUUUGACUUCAAUAUUGGAUGCGUGAAAUUCUUAUUACACUGACAAUUAUCGGAAUGUUCUAUUGUGUUGUGUGGAUACUGGAUACAUUUUUCAUCUUUCAUCCCUUGUAUUUUCUUUAUUGAUUAUCGUUCCAUUUUGGAUAUAUAUAGGUAUCUUGUUCCUGCUGAUUUAACUGUUGGCCAAUUUGUGUAUGUGGUGCGUAAGAGAAUCAAGCUGAGUCCUGAGAAGNNNNNNNNNNNNNNNNNNNNNNNNNNNNNNNNNNNNNNNNNNNNNNNNNNNNNNNNNNNNNNNNNNNNNNNNNNNNNNNNNNNNNNNNNNNNNNNNNNNNAUCAUAGCACGAUCAUGUGAAUAGAGCUUAAUGAAAAAUGACCAUUAUGAAGAAGUCAGCUUAAUUGUAAAUUCUCUGGUUUGAUCUGGUUCUUGUAAAGUUCAUUAACUGAUUGCUUUCAAUUUCUAUCGUUUCUUGUACCGGUACUUAUUUGAAAAUUGCCUUGUGUUCACUAUAUUGCUAAAGUUUAAGGGUAUGUGCUCUUUAAAAUGUUUUCUCAUUUUCAUUCUUCUUAUUUUCAUAUUCGAAAAGUAAUUUUCAUGUUCAGUUUUUAAAAUUAGACAAGGGGGUUUUCAAACUUUUAACCGCUGUCAAACCGUUGACUCAGUGAUCUGGGGAUCUCUGAUGGGGUUACCUUUAGGUCAGACCAGACGAUUGUUUCAAGCUCAUCUGUAUGCAGAUUUAGUAAAAUGAGGCUAAAUUGUGGCAUUUAGUGUGUUUAGAAAAGUUUAUUUGAAUUUUUUUUGGUACAUAAAGUUUAUGAAGUGUGGCAAACGACUAGGUCAAUGAAGUCUUUGUUUUUUUUGUGCUUCGGAAAAUAGUGAAUGAAGUCUUUCAAGACUACAGAGUUUUAUGACUUUCAGCUUUUCAUUUAAUUAAAUUAUCAGCACAUUGUAAGUGACGAGGUUUGGAGCAUGUUGGGCGAGUUUUUGCAUUGAGUACAUCUGAUCCAGCUUUGGUUUUGAAUGGGUUAAUUGCUAAUGUCAAAUAUUCAAAAACAUUUAAGAAGUUUUUUUUUUUUGAAACUUCAUUUAAGAAGUUAAGACCGAUUAGUAUUUGAAACAUUAUUUAUAAGGUGAUUAUUAAGGUCUUGGUUAAGCCUUCACACUUAGAGACUUAGAGUAGUUUUAUAACGGAGAGGUGCACAGCUGAUGUUAUUGUUCAUAAGAAGAAGAAGAAAGUAGAGUACUCAGCCGAUUGGUUUAACCGUGAGGUAACACGUGGUGGUUAGUUCACCUAGCCCCUUAACCCUGAGGUCAAGGUUUCGAUCCUCCCCAUGAGAAUGAAUCACAUUUCAUGGUCAAUCAUUUACCGUUUAUUACGAGCACCUGCGGUGAGGAAAUUAAUCAUUGUUGUUGCUGGAUACUCUGAGCUCACAAAAAAAGAAGAUGAAGAGGGAAGAUAAGGACAUCACCUUUAAGCGGGAUCUUGAGAAGGUGCAUGAUCAUAUGAUCGAAUGGAUUGGGGCUUCUUGAAGAAUACCCUCCAUCAAUUUGGGUUUCCACCUGUUAUGUUUAGCAUGUGCAAACCUGUUUGGGAAACUGUAACUAUCUUUCCCAAUCCAAGGUUCGAUCUUGUGACAUUACCUUUACAGAAAAUCUAGCUUGCCUAGCACUAGACCAGCCUACCAACAUAUAAUUUUUAAAAUCGAUAAUUACAUAUUCAAAAUAAGCUUAGAGUUUAGGAACCAAGUUGGCUUUUCAUCUUUCAAAACAAAAUAUAUAAAAAAAAUGACGGUGCAUAUUAUGUUUAUAUAAAUAAAUUAAAGAUCUUCAUAUUAAAAUCUUUUUUUUUUAAACAUCUUCAUAUUAAAAUCUUAGAAAUACAGCAAUUGGAUUUUUAUUUAAUUUGGUCAAAUUAAAUAAAUAGCGAUAUCUAAAGUCUAAACUGAUAAAAAUUGACUUUGUCCAAAUUGUACAAAAAUCUAAUAUAAGCUAUAAUGACCGGCAUUCGCCUCAAUUAAUACUUCAUAAAUCGAUUGAAGUCAAUAUAAGCUAUAAUGACCGGCAUUCGCCUCUUCUAGAUUAAGUGACUUUUGACCAUAAAAUGCAAAAUCAUACUAGUACUUCUUUAGACAAUUAUUAAUAAAGCAAGAAUUAUAACUUCUAAUAAUUUUGAAAUUUGUUAUACAUGUAGAUAUAUUUUAACACAGUAUUAACAAGUAAUUUUUCAAUCAUAUUCUAUCUCAAGUCUCAACACUUUAGCCGCACAUCUUUAUCCUAUCAAUUCAUAGGGAACAACUGGUGCAAGUAAAACUGUGAAGCAAUUUGGAAACACAUUUCGCUGCAAAGCUGUUUUAAAUGUCUUCCUAACUUCAAUCCAAACAUGCACUUAUAGAUGGAGAGGGUAAAGUCAUAACAUUCCACAUUUCUCUAUAAACAAAUGAAUAAUAGAAAUAACAAGAAGUAUAAGCUAUUCUGGAUUGUUUGUAAUGCUCAAAACUGGAAGCCAAAACAUAAUCAAUCUUUAUCUCUAUGAAACAAACUUUACUGAAUCAAUGUGUAUGUACCAAAACAAAUACAAGGAUCAGAGAAUAAGUUCUUCACUUAGAGGUCCUUUUCUGGUACUGAGUCUUCAUCCAUUUGAUCCCAGCAGAGGUGCCACUCUUCACCUUCUGAGCACCCACCACAGCAGCUGUCUUAGCUUUGUCAGCACCCACAGCUGCUGCUGCCUUGGCCUUUUCCAUCCCGGCUGCCAUCUUCUUGCUGCUGCUGCCUCCGCCACUAAUGCUCUUCUUCGCCUUGUCAUCUUCCACAUGCUCCUCGUUCCCAAAAGCACCCGCUCCCCAUUGAUCAGACCAACUCGGUGCCUUGUUGCUCCCCAUGAUUGAUUUCCCUCCUUUUACCUGCAGAAAAAUUUAAAAUCUUCACUGAUUCUAAUCACUAAUCAGUGCAUGUUCGGAAAUCUUUCUAGAAUUGAUUCUAAAGCCAAAAUCAAUUUUAGGGAGAAACUUAUGUGAGUCUCUCCUUAGUUCUUAGUGCCAGAAUUGAUUCAAAUCACUUAUCAAUGCAUGUUUGGAAAUUCAUCUAGCUUUUGAUUCUAAAGUCAAAAUCAAUUAUGGGGAGAAGGCGAGAAGCUAAGUAUCUUCUAAAUGCCAGAAUUGAUUCUAAUCAUGUAUCAAUGCAUGUUUGGAAAUCGUUCUAGAAUUGAUUCUAAAGUCAUAAUAAAUUACAUGAAGAAGCUAAGUAGCUUCUUUAUGUCAGAAUUGAUGCUAAUCACUUAUACAUGCAUGUUUGGAAAUCCCUCUAGAAUUGAUUCUACUGCCAAAAACAAUUCUAGGGUGAAACUUAUCUUAGUAGCUUAUUGAUGUCACAAAGAAAACAGAAGCUAAUACAAACAUCCUAAACAUGCUAUCAAAGCAAAUUAACAAACAAAACAACAACAAAACAUAAAGAGACAAAAAGGUAGGCGGAAACAUUCACAAAAUCGCAUCUAAUCCAAGUCGCACAAGGUCAAUAAUGCCAAACACACAUGUUUGGUUUCAAUUGACACAGUUAAUUAAUCAAUGUGACAAUCCAAAGCAAGAAAAAUAACAUUUGGGAUUUUUGAAUUAACAAGAUUUGGGUACACACCCACCCACAAGAUCUCUAGAUGAAUCCAAAGCAAAGUUUGAAGAGUUUAUUGAAAAAAAUCAAAACUUUUUGCUCAAUAGAUAAGAAUCAGAAAGACCCAGUUGUUAAAUGGAGUAAAUUGCACAUAAUUGUUGAAAAAAUAGGGCAAAAUUUCAUUUUUAUGUAUCUAUACAAAGACAGAGUGAGAUCGUAUAAAAGGGCAAGGAAGGUUCAGAUUGCUUGCAUGUUUGCUCGUACCUUGUUGUUGGUUGAUGAGGAUUGAGGAAGAAGAAGAUGGAGAUUUGAUUUGAGUUUGAGGGAGAGAAGGCAACAACGGGUUGAAACUCCAAC